UACGUAGGUGGCAAGCGUUGUCCGGAUUUACUGGGCGUAAAGGGAGCGUAGGCGGAUAUUUAAGUGGGAUGUGAAAUACUCGGGCUUAACCUGAGUGCUGCAUUCCAAACUGGAUAUCUAGAGUGCAGGAGAGGAAAGUAGAAUUCCUAGUGUAGCGGUGAAAUGCGUAGAGAUUAGGAAGAAUACCAGUGGCGAAGGCGGCUUUCUGGACUGUAACUGACGCUGAGGCGCGAAAGCGUGGGGAGCAAACAGG
rnacentral:rRNA from 1 species